UACGAAGGGGGGCUAGCGUUGCUCGGAAUCACUGGGCGUAAAGCGCACGUAGGCGGACUCUUAAGUCGGUGGUGAAAUCCUGGAGCUCAACUCCAGAACUGCCUUCGAUACUGAGAGUCUCGAGUCCGGAAGAGGCGAGUGGAACUCCUGGUGUAGCGGUGGAAUGCGCAGAUAUCAGGAAGAACACCAACGGCGAAGGCAGCUCGCUAGGACGGUACUGACGCUGAGACGCGAAAGCGUGGGGAGCGAACAGG
rnacentral:rRNA from 1 species